rnacentral:lncRNA from 1 species
CCCCCAGAAGGGGUGGCUUGUGGUGACCUACGUGGGUGUAAAAUCUACUACAAAAAUAUUCUCUAUUGAAUUUCAUUCUGCAGAAGUGAGAUUGCAUGUUUCUCCUGCCUGUCACGUUUCAUGAGGAACUUGUAUUGUUUAAAGACAAAAAGAAAAGAUUAGGGACUUUUUUUUUUUUUUGAGAUCCAAGACAGCUUGUGUAGGAGGUAAAUCGUGCAAUAGAUAUCCUGAAUGCAUCAAGUUUCCAGGAAUAACAGCUGCAAUGAGAGGAAAAGGAGGAAGGAAAAGGAGCAUCCAUUCCUAUUUUGUGACAGGCAUCUCUGCUAGCUUAUAAGGCCUAAAAUGAACAACUACUGCAAAAGAGAUUUGGACUGAUGAACCUAAAAUUGGAGAGUACUUGACAUGCCUGGGAAGGCAGCCACGUGAAAGAUUAAAAUAGCCGACUCUGAUUUCGGCUCCAUUGAAGAGGAGCAGACUCAGUCAGGGAGGAUGACUCGGAGGUACGUUCAUUUCACAUGACAGUAUUGUCACACAGGUGCCAUUUAUUUGCUAAUAAAAUUAUUCCUAAAGGUUUGUAAUUUCA